rnacentral:rRNA from 1 species
UACGUAGGGGGCUAGCGUUGUCCGGAAUCAUUGGGCGUAAAGAGCGUGUAGGCGGUCUGGUAGGUCCGUUGUGAAAACUCGAGGCUCAACCUCGAGACGCCGAUGGAAACCCGCAGACUAGAGUCCGGAAGAGGAGAGUGGAAUUCCUGGUGUAGCGGUGAAAUGCGCAGAUAUCAGGAAGAACACCCGUGGCGAAGGCGGCUCUCUAGUACGUGACUGACGCUGAGACGCGAAAGCGUGGGGAGCGAACAGG